GACGAACGCUGGCGGCGUGCUUAACACAUGCAAGUCGAACGGAAAGGCCCUGCUUUUGUGGGGUGCUCGAGUGGCGAACGGGUGAGUAACACGUGAGUAACCUGCCCUUGACUUUGGGAUAACUUCAGGAAACUGGGGCUAAUACCGGAUAGGAGCUCCUGCUGCAUGGUGGGGGUUGGAAAGUUUCGGCGGUUGGGGAUGGACUCGCGGCUUAUCAGCUUGUUGGGGGGGUAGUGGCUUACCAAGGCUUUGACGGGUAGCCGGCCUGAGAGGGUGACCGGGCACAUUGGGACUGCGAUACGGCCCAGACUCCUACGGGAGGCAGCAGUGGGGAAUAUUGCACAAUGGGCGGAAGCCUGAUGCAGCAACGCCGCGUGCGGGAUGACGGCCUUCGGGUUGUAAACCGCUUUCGCCUGUGACGAAGCGUGAGUGACGGUAAUGGGUAAAGAAGCACCGGCUAACUACGUG
rnacentral:rRNA from 1 species